UUUGAAAAAUUUUCAUAUUUGAGUUCGUUGAGUUUUUAAAGCAUCAUCUCCUUUAAUGUACAGUCCACUUUGUAGUGGGCGACUGGGGGAAAUUCUUGUGAAUGGGCUAUGAAAUAUGAGAGUACUUCACAAAGUUCAUGGAAAGCUAUGCUAUGGACAUGGUGAAAGAGAGAGUCUAUCACAAAUGAGCAAAGGCUUGACUUGUGACCGAACUUGUGGUCUAUCCUGGAGAAUGUUCCAUGUGCUGAUGAGAAGACUAUAUAUUCAGGU